rnacentral:rRNA from 1 species
GGAGUUAGCCGGUGCUUCUUCUGUGAGUGAUGUCCUUCCUGCCGGCUAUUAACCCGCAGGCCUUCUUCCUCACUGAAAGUGCUUUACAACCCGAAGGCCUUCUUCACACACGCGGCAUGGCUGGAUCAGGGUUGCCCCCAUUGUCCAAUAUUCCCCACUGCUGCCUCCCGUAGGAGUCUGGGCCGUGUCUCAGUCCCAGUGUGGCUGAUCAUCCUCUCAGACCAGCUACGGAUCGUCGCCUUGGUGAGCCGUUACCUCACCAACCAGCUAAUCCGACAUAGGCUCAUCCGAUAGCGCGAGGCCCGAAGGUCCCCCGCUUUCCCCCGUAGGCGUAUGCGGUAUUAGCCUGGGUUUCCCCAGGUUAUCCCCCACUACCGGGCAGAUUCCUAUGCAUUACUCACCCGUCCGCCGCUCGCCACCAGGGAGCAAGCUCCCCGUGCUGCCGCUCGACUUGCAUGUGUUAGGCCUGCCGCCACGCGUCAUCUGAGCAGAUACAACUACUGA